rnacentral:rRNA from 1 species
CCUACGGGAGGCAGCAGUGAGGAAUAUUGGUCAAUGGACGAGAGUCUGAACCAGCCAAGUAGCGUGAAGGAUGACUGCCCUAUGGGUUGUAAACUUCUUUUAUAAAGGAAUAAAACGAGGCACGUGUGCCUGUUUGCAUGUACUUUAUGAAUAAGGAUCGGCUAACUCCGUGCCAGCAGCCGCGGUAAUACGGAGGAUCCGAGCGUUAUCCGGAUUUAUUGGGUUUAAAGGGAGCGUAGAUGGGUUGUUAAGUCAGUGGUGAAAGUUCGCGGCUCAACCGUAAAAUUGCAAUUGAUACUGGCAGUCUUGAGUACAGUUGAGGUAGGCGGAAUUCGUGGUGUAGCGGUGAAAUGCUUAGAUAUCACGAAGAACCCCGAUUGCGAAGGCAGCUUACUGAACUGUGACUGACAUUGAUGCUCGAAAGUGUGGGUAUCAAACAGGAUUAGAUACCCGAGUAGUC